rnacentral:lncRNA from 1 species
GGGGUUGAAAAAGAUGAAGGGAGAGAAAAUGGAAGAAAGCUAACGUAAUCUAGUUGGGAUGUGGAUUUGAGAACAAAGGUAGGAAAAGGAAUAACGCAACGCACAAAGCCACGUGACGCGGAACCACAUACAGACACCAUUAUGGAGAGAAAGGAGGGAGGUUUGCGUCUUUGCCGGUACCCAGUCAUCGUCACUCACGUCCACAUUUCACAGGUGCCAUAGUAUAUAUGUACAUCCUUCUCAUUUUUUUAUUUUUUAUUUUUUAUUUUUUCUCUCACUGUCUUUGCAUGGUGAAAAACAUUUUAUGCUUUUCUCAUCCUACUUCCACGCACUUGUGUUAUAUAUGUCCCCAGAUUUUUCUAUCGCAGAAUCUGGGUACACG